GGUGGCCAAGUGGUUAGAGCGUCCGCCUAGGAUGCGGGAGGUCGUGGGUUCAAGUCAUACUAAAGACU